UACGUAGGGGGCAAGCGUUGUCCGGAUUUAUUGGGCGUAAAGAGCGUGUAGGCGGUUUGGUAGGUCCGCUGUGAAAACUCGAGCUCAACCUCGAGACGCCGGUGGAAACCAUCAGACUAGAGUCCGGAAGAGGAGAGUGGAAUUCCUGGUGUAGCGGUGAAAUGCGCAGAUAUCAGGAAGAACACCCGUGGCGAAGGCGGCCUCUGAGGUACG
rnacentral:rRNA from 1 species